rnacentral:rRNA from 1 species
AGAACGAACGCUGGCGGCAGGCUUAACACAUGCAAGUCGAGCGCCCCGCAAGGGGAGCGGCAGACGGGUGAGUAACGCGUGGGAACAUACCCUCCGGUUCGGAAUAGCUCAGGGAAACUUGGAUUAAUACCGGAUACGGCCUAGCGGCGAAAGAUUCAUCGCCGGAGGAUUGGCCCGCGUCUGAUUAGCUAGUUGGUGGGGUAAUGGCCCACCAAGGCGACGAUCAGUAGCUGGUCUGAGAGGAUGAUCAGCCACAUUGGGACUGAGACACGGCCCAAACUCCUACGGGAGGCAGCAGUGGGGAAUAUUGGACAAUGGGCGCAAGCCUGAUCCAGCCAUGCCGCGUGAGUGAUGACGGCCUUAGGGUUGUAAAGCUCUUUCGCUAGGGACGAUAAUGACGGUACCUAGACAAGAACGCCCCGGCUAACUUCGCGCCAGCAGCCGC